rnacentral:misc_RNA from 1 species
GAUGAAGAACGCAGCGAAAUGCGAUAAGUAAUGUGAAUUGCAGAAUUCAGUGAAUCAUCGAAUCUUUGAACGCACAUUGCGCCCGCCAGUAUUCUGGCGGGCAUGCCUGUUCGAGCGUCAUUUCAACCAUCAAGCCCCCGGCUUGUGUUGGGGACCUGCGGCUGCCGCAGGCCCUGAAAACCAGUGGCGGGCUCGCUAGUCACUCCGAGCGUAGUAAUACAUCUCGCUCAGGGCGUGCUGCGGGUUCCGGCCGUUAAAAAGCCUUAUUUACCCAAGGUUGACCUCGGAUCAGGUAGGAAGACCCGCUGAACUUAAGCGUAUCAAUAAGCGGAGGA